rnacentral:tRNA from 1 species
GCCUCGGUGGCUAAUGGAAAUUGGUACACCUGCCUGCCUUAGAAGCAGGGCUUUUCUGGGUUCGAAUCCCGGCUGAGGCACCA